CCAAUUAAUAGAGAUUUAUUCAGAAGCAGGCGCUUAUUUUGUUCGAUAUUAUAAAACAUAAAAGAAUCAUCCCUAAGUCCCUAUACUUAACAUAACUUAGAAAUAGUGUCAAUCUUGAGAAUGUACUUGAAGAAAGAACAUUUCACAGACCUUAAUGUAGUCUCCAACUGCCAUGUGCUCUCUUUAACUCCGCGUGUAACUAAACUGUGACUCCAAUAUGCUUGACACAGUACUUAUCCAGGGUUCUUCCAUACUUCGCAUCUCCGCUAGCUGGCCUGAAAAAAGAGCAUGGUGUACUGGAAUAAAUUAAUCUGGCAUACAUCAUUUGAGAGGCACAGUAGCUGAUCUUCUGUUUCUCCUCUUGUCCCACCAGUUAGACUUCCUGGAAUGGUUGUUUGAACCUGCCUAAAUGAAAACAUAGAUAACAAUCAUUUCACCCUCAAGUGCGGAUAAUACUACAUAUGAAAUUAUGUAAAACAUUAUGCAGUACCAAGAGUGUAUUACUGCGGGAAUGAAGAUUCUCUAACUCAGAAAAACUUAACUAUGACCAAACAUCACUAACUAUAAGCUCAUGCCCAGAGCUACUGCUUAUUAGCUAAUCUGUUAUGACUUAUGCGUAAACAUGAUAUUUUUGGAAAAUAAUCAAUAAAUAAACUGACAUACGUCAACCUUUUAUGAAAAGCUACCAUCAUUUAUUUGGUCAUUAAAACAUUCUCUCUUUUCAUUAAAUUUUAAUCUUAUGUGUUACAAACCCAUCAUGAUUCACUCCAUUCCUGCAAGUAUCAUUUUCUCCAACAAAUUUGAGAGUUUUUCCAUCUUCCAAAGGCUUAAUUUACUCAAUAAAUGGCAGAUCUUGUAGUAGCAGGCAGCGAUCAAAGCCUUAUAUCACUUUUAAUAAUAGAAAACAUACGUGAUCUUGGAUAUUAUGUGAUUACAUUUAGUAGGAUGCAACACAAUAUCACUUCCAAUAAUUGGAAACUUACUGGAUCAUUGGAUGUUAUGUUAUCACAUAUUGUUUGAAGGUAUUUGUGCCAUUAACAUGCUUUUUACUUAUUUAGUUUACAUGUUGGGAAAGAUCUAAGAAAUUUCCAAGAUAAAAUUUCUUACCUGCUAGAAGGAUGAGGAGGGUGGCUUAGUACUCAUCCGCUUCACCAUUAGUGGUUUAUCUCCACAAGUGGCCGUGCAUUGCUUUCUUUACAUUGGUUCUGUUUCUUCAUCGAUAGCAAAUAUCUGAAAAUUGAAAAUCUGCAUAUAAAUCAGGUAGUCCACAAAUCCAUUUAUUUGAAUAAUGAUAAUGAAGACAUGGUAUGGGUGACGUCAAACAUUUCCAACAUUUGUUAAAAUUUGGGUGAUCAAUUGAUUUUUAGCAAGUGUGACUGUAUUAAGCAUGGUUGACAGAAACAUGGAUAAAUAGAGAUAGAACAAUAAAUGAGCAAAGUUCAUCAAUUGGCAAUUUGGUUAAUCUAUUUUCACUUGUUAAACACUUAAUUUGACAGCAUAGACAAGUGAAACAAAACUGAGCAUCGGCCCUGUGCAUCCAAAGAGUUUCACUGCAGAUGUACCUUGAAUUGCUAGCUGUAAACUAAAAGGUCAAUUUCAAACGAGGGAAACAGGCAAGGGGUAGUUUAGGUUUUUACAGAAGUCAAUAGCACAUGGUGAAACAUGGUACUCUCGGGAUUGCCUAAAUGUUUUUGCAGGGCAACCAAUAUGCUGUAAUUACACAUAACAUGCAUAACUUAAAGAAAGAAGAAAGAAUUCACUUUAUGAGCAUAC
rnacentral:lncRNA from 1 species